UACGUAGGGGGCCAGCGUUGUCCGGAAUCAUUGGGCGUAAAGAGCGUGUAGGCGGUCCGGUAAGUCCGUUGUGAAAGUCAAGGGCUCAACCCUUGAAUGCCGGCGGAUACUGUCGGGCUAGAGUCCGGAAGAGGCAAGUGGAAUUCCCGGUGUAGCGGUGGAAUGCGCAGAUAUCGGGAGGAACACCUAUGGCGAAGGCAGCUUGCUGGGACGGUACUGACGCUGAGACGCGAAAGCGUGGGGAGCAAACAGG
rnacentral:rRNA from 1 species